rnacentral:lncRNA from 1 species
AAGGCACGAGUUUGUCCUCAGAGCACAGAAGCUGGAAUUGUGACUUCCUUCUUACCUCUUCUGCGCCCUACUCACACAAUGACCAAUGAGGUUUGCAGUCUGCGUUUGUGGCUAGAAGGGCAGUGAAGACAAUACCUAUAUAUGACCAUCAGCUUAGAAAAAAAGAAGCCUUAAGUAAACUAGCCAAUUGAUUGGUCCUUAAAGAAUCAAGAAAGAAGAUUCAACAAUAGUCACAUAAAAAUAAGAAGAGCAUCAGUCCUGCCUUUCUUGCCCUGAAUCCUGCCAGUGCCACCCAAGUUUGCCUCUUGUCAGUAGUGCUUCCUUCUCUGGCAGACAUCUUCAGAGGAGAAAACAGGUGGCACCGAUCCAAGCAUGUGUGAUAAUAGACAUGCCUGGUUUCCUAGGUAGGCAAAGAAGCAGCAGCUGUGGUUAUAUCUCCAUGUAGCUGGGGAGAAGAAAGAAAGAAAAGGAAGAGAUGAAUUUAAUGAAAUUGAACAAACUCUUCAGUUUCCCCAAGUUACCAAUACAAUAGAAGAUAUGCUGGGUGAACUGCUUUUCUAAAACAAAUUUUAAUUUAUUUUGUUAUUAUUAGUCACUUAUCGGUGCCUAUAAAACUGUUGUUUAUCUAUAUGCUUGCUAUGGAC